rnacentral:rRNA from 1 species
UAACACGUGGAUAAUCUGCCCUGCACAGGGGGACAACAGCUAGAAAUGGCUGCUAAUACCGCAUAAGCCUACAGCCUCGCAUGAGGGAGUAGGAAAAGAGAUUCGGUGCAGGAUGAGUCCGCGUCUGAUUAGCUAGUUGGAGGGGUAAAAGCCCACCAAGGCAACGAUCAGUAGCCGGCCUGAGAGGGCGACCGGCCACAUUGGGACUGAGACACGGCCCAAACUCCUACGGGAGGCAGCAG